rnacentral:rRNA from 1 species
GAUGAACGCUGGCGGCGUGCCUAAUACAUGCAAGUCGAGCGAACAGAUGAGGAGCUUGCUCCUCUGACGUUAGCGGCGGACGGGUGAGUAACACGUGGAUAACCUACCUAUAAGACUGGGAUAACUACGGGAAACCGGAGCUAAUACCGGAUAAUAUAUUGAACCGCAUGGUUCAAUAGUGAAAGACGGUUUUGCUGUCACUUAUAGAUGGAUCCGCGCCGCAUUAGCUAGUUGGUAAGGUAACGGCUUACCAAGGCAACGAUGCGUAGCCGACCUGAGAGGGUGAUCGCCCACACUGGAACUGAGACACGGUCCAGACUCCUACGGGAGGCAGCAGUAUGGAAUCUUCCGCAAUGGGCGAAAGCCUGACGGAGCAACGCCGCGUGAGUGAUGAAGGUCUUCGGAUCGUAAAACUCUGUUAUUAGGGAAGAACAAAUGUGUAAGUAACUAUGCACGUCUUGACGGUACCUAAUCAGAAAGCCACGGCUAACUACGUG